AUUCAGAGGCAUUGUUCAAGCAUGCUGCUUACAUAGUAAAUGAUCAGUCCGCGACAACCUUGGGUCUGGAAUCGCAAUGGUCAGCCACGUUGUCCCCAGAGUUUAGAGAUAGAUAUGCUCACAAAAAUUGCAGCCGUACUCAAUAAGACAUUUUGAACAGACUCGUUGGUGAAGGGUUGGCUCUACCCCACAAUGAAAGACAUUGGGGAUCCAAGCCAGGAAUGAGAAGCAAACCCAAUCUGCUUU
rnacentral:lncRNA from 1 species